AACAUGUAAAGAACUAAAGAAAGCAUAAUUUUGUCCACAAGGUCGUCGUAUAUAAAGCCUUAUUUCUAAAACAAAGGUUAUUUUACAAUAAAAAAUGGCUUCGUCACCUAACAAAUUAAGGAUUGAGGAAAAUGGAUCUCGUUUGAGUAAACUUUUAAUCAAUAAAGGAACCCAAGCCUUAAAAA